UGCCAGACUCCUACGGGAGGCAGCAGUGGGGAAUAUUGGACAAUGGGGGGAACCCUGAUCCAGCGACGCCGCGUGAGUGAAGAAGUAUUUCGGUAUGUAAAGCUCUAUCAGCAGGGAAGAAAGAAAUGACGGUACCUGACUAAGAAGCCCCGACUAAAUACGUGCCAGCAGCCGCGGUAAUACGUAUGGUGCAAGCGUUAUCCGGAAUGACUGGGUGUAAAGGGAGCGUAGACGGUUGUACAAGUCUGAUGUGAAAGCCCACGGCUCAACUGUGGGAGUGCAUUGGAAACUGUAGAACUAGAGUAUCGGAGAGGCAAGUGGAAUUCCUAGUGUAGCGGUGAAAUGCGUAGAUAUUAGGAGGAACACCAGUGGCGAAGGCGGCUUGCUGGACGAAAACUGACGUUGAGGCUCGAAAGCGUGGGGAGCAAACAGGAUUAGAUACCCGAGUAAU
rnacentral:rRNA from 1 species